AUGUACCACGCGUCCACUGCGGUUGUGAGCGCGCCGUCCGCGCCCACCUGACAGCUGCUCGCG
rnacentral:sRNA from 1 species